CAAACCCUGCCCUGAAGCGGGGGACAACAACUCGAAAGAGUUGCUAAUACCGCAUGUGUAUCGGAAUGGCAUCAUUCAGGAUACAAAGCCGCAAGGCACUUCAGGAUGGGCCCGCGGCCUAUCAGCUAGUUGGUGAGGUAACGGCCCACCAAGGCUUCGACGGGUAGCUGGUCUGAGAGGACGAUCAGCCGGAUUGGGACUGAGAUACGGCCCAG
rnacentral:rRNA from 1 species